rnacentral:rRNA from 1 species
UACGUAGGGACCAAGCGUUGUUCGGAUUUACUGGGCGUAAAGGGCGCGUAGGCGGCUUAACAAGUCACUUGUGAAAUCUCCGGGCUUAACUCGGAACGGCCAAGUGAAACUGUCAAGCUAGAGUGCAGAAGGGGCAAUCGGAAUUCUUGGUGUAGCGGUGAAAUGCGUAGAUAUCUGGAGGAACACCGGUGGCGAAGGCGGCAUACUGGACCAACACUGACGCUGAGGAGCGAAAGCCAGGGGAGCAAACGGG